rnacentral:rRNA from 1 species
AAGCAUAGUGAUAUGUUUAGCGGACAGAUACUAAUCGGUCGAGGGCUUAACCACA